rnacentral:rRNA from 1 species
GGACUGUAGUCUGCAACUCGACUACACGAAGCUGGAAUCGCUAGUAAUCGCGAAUCAGAAUGUCGCGGUGAAUACGUUCCCGGGUCUUGUACACACCGCCCGUCACACCAUGGGAGCCGGAAAUGCCCGAAGUCAGUGACCCAACCGCGAGGAGGGAGCUGCCGAAGGCAGGUCUGGUAACUGGGGUGAAGUCGUAACAAGGUACC